AACCUGGUUGGGUGGUCUGCCUUCACGGUACGUACUGCUUGGCCGGGUUCUACCUCUUGGUGAGCCGGCAUGCCCUUCACUGGGUGUGUCGGGGAACCAGGACUUUUACCUUGAAAAAAUUAGAGUGUUUAAAGCAAGUGAAUAACAGCCUGAAUACAUUAGCAUGGAAUAAUAGAAUAG
rnacentral:rRNA from 1 species